GACGAACGCUGGCGGCGUGCCUAAUACAUGCAAGUCAAACGCUUUUUCUUUCACCGGAGCUUGCUCCACCGAAAGAAAAAGAGUGGCGAACGGGUGAGUAACACGUGGGUAACCUGCCCAUCAGAAGGGGAUAACACUUGGAAACAGGUGCUAAUACCGUAUAACACUAUUUUCCGCAUGGAAGAAAGUUGAAAGGCGCUUUUGCGUCACUGAUGGAUGGACCCGGGGUGCAUUAGCUAGUUGGUGAGGUAACGGCUCACCAAGGCAACGAUGCAUAGCCGACCUGAGAGGGUGAUCGGCCACACUGGGACUGAGACACGGCCCAGACUCCUACGGGAGGCAGCAGUAGGGAAUCUUCGGCAAUGGACGAAAGUCUGACCGAGCAACGCCGCGUGAGUGAAGAAGGUUUUCGGAUCGUAAAACUCUGUUGUUAGAGAAGAACAAGGAUGAGAGUAAAACGUUCAUCCCUUGACGGUAUCUAACCAGAAAGCCACGGCUAACUACGUGCCAGCAGCCGCCGUAA
rnacentral:rRNA from 1 species